UGCCAGACUCCUACGGGAGGCAGCAGUGGGGAAUAUUGCACAAUGGGGGAAACCCUGAUGCAGCGACGCCGCGUGAGUGAAGAAGUAAUUCGUUAUGUAAAGCUCUAUCAGCAGGGAAGAAAAUGACGGUACCUGAGUAAGAAGCCCCGGCUAACUACGUGCCAGCAGCCGCGGUAAUACGUAGGGGGCAAGCGUUAUCCGGAUUUACUGGGUGUAAAGGGAGCGUAGACGGCAAUACAAGUCGGAAGUGAAAUACCCGGGCUCAACCUGGGAACUGCUUUGGAAACUGUAUGGCUGGAGUGCUGGAGAGGUAAGCGGAAUUCCUGGUGUAGCGGUGAAAUGCGUAGAUAUCAGGAGGAACACCGGCGGCGAAGGCGGCCUGCUGGACCGCGACUGACGUUGAGGCUCGAAAGCGUGGGGAGCGAACAGGAUUAGAUACCCUUGUA
rnacentral:rRNA from 1 species